AAGACACUAGUAUACUAGCCAAAUACACGGCCUUGUCAAGGCUGAGUCGUGGGUUAAAGUCCCGCGUGUCUUG
rnacentral:tRNA from 1 species